CUUAUUUUGGAAAAUUGCCCAACCUGACUUCAAUUGAUUCCCCUUCUUGUUCUGGGAAAAAAUAUUCAGUCCACUCCAAAUGUCCACAAACAACAACAUUUUAAGAACAAACUUUUUUUCCGUACAAUUAGCUAUUACUUUUUAGGAAGAUGAUAAAAGAAACUUGUAUGCAUUGAAAUGGCAACUAAAAUGUUUGAUCAUAUUUUAACAUUCUGAAUCCAUAAUGCAACACCAGUUUCAGUCAAAAACAGAGUUCAGCAUAAUGCUGCUCCUGUUGCUGCCACUCUGAACUGGAAUUUUUCCCGCCAUGCCCCUCGAGGAUUCAUUGAUGGAAAAAAUGUUGUCUCGUGUGAAGCUUGAGGAGGGAUGUUGUAGUAAUGAAAUGGUGCAGAUUGGUCUUGUUGAAAUUGGUUGUGCUGUUGGGAGACGACUGCUUGAGGCAACAAGCCACCAUGAGCUGCUGCCUGCUGCCUAGCUUUAUCUGUGCCCUUUAAUUCUUGUCUAGGUGCUUGGGGCCUUGCCCAAUUUCACUUCAAUCUCAAACCCUUCAUCACUAGUUUAUUAGAGAGAUCUUCUGCAACCUUCUCUGCACCUUCUCUUGUUGUGUAGGUUACAAAAGCACAUCUUCGUUCGAGCAGCAGCAUCCGAAUGGGUUCGAUUUCACCAUGAGCAUACUUUCUUCCGUGAAAAAUUAUCAUAAGCUUUGGAUAACCAUAUGUAAGCACAAUUCUAAGAGACGAAUUCUACCAAGCAAAGCAUAUACAUAUUCGAUACUUUGUUGCAUCAUCUUGGAAGGUGAUGCCUAAUCAAUCCCUGCUGUUCAUCCAACACAAAGCCGGCUGAUGAAAAAGGGCACUUGUAAAGAAGGGUUUUAGAUCAAAGAUCUCAUGCUCCUGUGCCUGCACAAGAUAAAUCAAAUGCAAAAGGGUUUUGUUUAUGCAAGAAAAGUAAAAUUUCCAAUAUCAACCGCUCAUGUUUGCAUUACCAUCCUCUGCAAAUCUCCCACUUUGACAUCGAUAUGAGUGCUGAGCUAGAGCCAGAAACAAUUUCUGCAAACCCUGCUCUUCAUGUUUUGUUAUUAUUGAUGCUUCUUUUAUUUCCUCUCCAUUUUCUUUUGUCUUGUUCUUCCCCCACAUGAACUGUGUCAUGUCUUUCUUGUGUUCAAAUAUACACGAGUGUUCCCAUAGUGUAGGUAUGUUAUAAGUAUGUUGUACGCAUACGAAUGUGCUUAUGGUGUAGGUAUGUUUUUAUUUUUUUUGGGGCAGAAUGGUGUAGGUAUGUUGUAUGUAUAGGGUUUGUUGGCCUGAUAUUAAUAGGAAAACAGAAUGACUAAAAGAAAAAGAGUAAUGCUACACUCACCACAUUUCUAUACCACAUGAUGUGGCAUGUCCAUAUUAUAUACCACAUCAAUUAAAUCAAUGAAGUAUAUUUUAAUUAAGACAAUUAGAAAAAUAAACAUUGGAAUAAAUCAUUAAAAAAAAAAGAAAAUAUUAAAUAAUUUUAAUUGAUGUGGCUGUCCACCUCAGCUGCCACAUAAGAUGAUAUAGAGAUGUGGUAAGAAUAACAUUAUUCAAAGAAAAAAGGAAUCCUAAUUAACCACCAUAUCUAAAUUGGGUAACUUAGUAUCCUUUUAUGCUUAGCGGAUUUGAAAUUGUUUUCUGAUACGAUAAUAAAAAAACCGGAUUUCACUAAAAUUCUUAUACAAGACAAUAGAAAAUAAACCAAAUGUAUUAACUUUUAAACCGUCAAAUUCAUAGAAACUGAUUAAAGCGAUAUUAAUUAGAUAUUAAUUAUUUUAACCGUGACCAUUUAUCUUGUUUUAUCUAAAGGGAAAGCCAAAGUAGUGAUCGUGAUAAUAUUUGGGAAAGGAAUGGUAAAGCAAGAAGUUGAACAACCUGACCCCAAAAGAAAAAAAAAAGUUGAACAACCGACUUAAGUGGCUGCAAAUUACUGUUGACGGAACAAUUAAAAAAAAAGAAAUUUAAUCAUAACAAUUCUCAUAAAAAUUAUAACAAUCAAAUAUGAUAAUAAACUUGCAUAGAAUUUAUGCAAAACUUUCUUCCGGUAUGUGAAUUGUAAUGCAGCAGAUUUUCUGUGAGCAAAUGUAUAUAAUAUCUAUCCAUCUCAUUUUAAGGGGACAAUGCUAUCACUAUAAACUAAUUGAAUCAAUGGUCUUCCGUGGGGAUUUGCCAUAAACCCAGGCCAAACAAAAUCAAAUAUUCUAUAUCUUUUGCUCUUCAUAUUAUAAAGAUGUAAUUGGAGUGGAGAGUCGACAACUUCCAGCAUUAUGGCUAGCUCACCUGUGUGGAUUGUGCCCAACACUUCACCGCGAUUUGGUUUUUUGGGUAUCUCACUAAUAGUAAUAGUCUCCUUAACCCACACAAGGUUUUGGUAGUCUUUCAAAAUCCAUAAAAUUAUCUUGUUAUGUUCCCACCGAUUCGCAACAAACACAGCCACACAUCCUCCCACCUCAACUAUACUUGGAAAAUUAGCAUCAUAGUCAACUAAGUAUUGAGCACAAUCUUCAGAGAGUGGCACCACGCUGAAGCUCUCCUCUCCAACGUCAAAUACCGCAAUGUUUUUUUCGCUCUUAUCGAUCCAGUGUAUGGCCCCAUUGAUGCACACACUGUUGGGACUUCUGGCAACAGCCCAUAUUUUAAAUGGAAGGUCAACGUUGCCUGCUGCAGGGUCAACCUGCAAUGGUCUCCACGAAGAAUCCUGACCUAGCGUGAAUGCGUUGAACUGAAAACCUGAAUUUCGAAAGUUGAUGAGCUGGAGAACCUUAUACUCAUUGGUAAGUGGACUGAAGCCAAAGUUAUAUACAACUAAUGCAUUGUGCUUGACAUGGGGAAGUUGAAUGGACUCUCGAGUGGUGGGGUUGAGUAUGAAAACUGGGCCACCAUAACUAGAGGAUGCACAAACCAAGCCAUGGACGCUUUGCACUCCAUCAUAUCUAUAAUGUUGAAGAGCUUCACAUCGACUCAGGUAUUCGGUGACGGGUGUUGGUAUUAGAACCCUGUUAUUAUUAUUAUUCCCUCCUCCUUGUUGCUCCUUCUCCUCUAUUUUUGAGGAGAAAAAGCGGUUUUCAUUUUGGAAAAGGAAGUUAGUGGUGCUCCUGUUUCUGUCGUUCCAAAAGUCGGCAACAAAGAAAGGGCUGCAGAUGAGGGAGGACCAAGACUUGCAUACGCACCUGCACUGCAUCAUCAGAUCCUUUGGUGGUAGCCGUGGGAGUAUAUGGGAGAAUAUGAUUUCGGUUGGGAGCUCCGGGCUCAUAUUUAACAAUUUCCUUUUACGACUUUCUCUGGCCAUCCAAAGACCUGAAUAUAGUAAGGCUACGCUAAGAAGCAGAAAAGAAACCCAGAGAUGCUGAUAUAUACGUUCUUUUAAAAGAAAAGCAGAGAUCACUUACUUCAAAAGGAAAACAAGAGAUGCUAAACUUUCGGUAGGGAUUGUAAUUGUUGGCUGGGCAUUUAUAGGAAAACAGGGUAACAAUCCAAAAGAAAAAAGGAAUCCUAGCCAUAUCUCAAUUAGUAUCCUAGUGGGGGAGGGAGGUGGUGUAAUUGGUGGGGAGGCGUUUGGGUUGUUUAGGGAAUUAGACCAUAUUCGACCGAACAAAAAAUAAAGAUUUAAUGCCCUUUAUUAUUAGAGAUAUUUAGUGAUAUACCCAUUCUUAGUACUAAUAUUAUAAAUAAACCUUACACUAUUAAAUUUCUAUAAAAAAACAAAAAAAAAAACCCAAAAAAUGACAACUAACCUUAUUAAAUUACUUUGAUGCCCUAUUGAGUGUUUUGGGUAUUUUUAUGAGAUUUUGGGGUUGGGCUUGUUUUAAAAACUUGAUGACAGUUUUGCAAUUUAUAAGAAGUUAAAAAGCCUCUUUGUUAUAUUGUAAAUGAGUUUUUGGUGUGUUUCUAAAGUCCAUUUUAUAUAGGGUAUUUUUAUAAUUUGGGGCCAUGUAUUGAGUAUAAUAGUGAAUCUCCCUUAUUAUUAUUAGUACAACUUUAACUUGUAUUUCUCCUCCAAGGUUCUUCGGAUUCUGAGCAUGUAUUACAUUGCCAAAUUCAUCAUGUUCUGUGAACAUACACAAAAACAGCAUAGUUAAAUUCAAGAUUUACAACAAAAUAAAAACGCAAACGGGUCAAUGCACUACAUCUACAUAAUCCGAAAUUGAAUUCUAGAAAGAUUAGAGAAAUUACCAGAGCAAAUAGAGGAAAAACAAGAUUUGUAUCAGUUGACAACUUACAAAAUGAAGUUUGAUUUCUAAAGGUGGAUUAUAAAAUCAAUAUUAGGAACAAAAGAAGGAAAUACAGACAAUAGACUUCUUCAUCUUACUUUGCAUCUUGCAGUAUAGAAAUAUAAUAUAAGCAAGGGGGAAAUAAGAGUACCUCAGUUUGCAGAAUCCGAUCCAUCCCCAAGAAUAAAUCCAUCAUGCCGCACCUCUCUGAAGACAGAUGUGAUAGCAGCCCAUUCGCAUGCAGCAAAUCAUAGGUUCCAGGAUAUGUAGGGAACGGUUCACACCUGUACCAACAGAUAGAUCACAACUACGACUCUACCUCAAAAAUUAAAUUGCAGUCAACAUAGACUUGCAGGCACACAUGUAUAGAAAGGGAAAGAAAAUAGGAUAUACAGAGCACAAAUGAGUCCUAGCUUUUUUAAAUUCAAAUUUUUUCAACCUUAGUUAGAGUUAGUCAUUCUCAAAUUUUUUUUGCCUUCCAAAAAACACAGUGCAUCUGAGCUACACUGAAAGAAGCUUCAAAUAUCAAGUUAGCCAGCAGAGUUUCUGAAGGAACUGAAAGCAACGACUUACCAGUCAUGCAAAACACCAGCAAAACCUUGAUCUAGUAUGAGAGGAAGUGGAUAGGGAGCAAAACUGAUUUUCUUUCCUCCAGAAAAGCUGCAUUUAACCCAUAGUGAGCACUCAUAUCCAUCACAUUGUAUUUUGAAAACCUUUUGCCGAAUAGAACACUUACGUAUUUUAUUCGUACUUCCCCUUACGUUAAAUUUUAUUGGAUAAUUGUGAUUCGAUAUAUAAAUCUCAAAAAUAAAAUGAAUCCAACAGUAAUUAACAUGGAGGCAAAAAAAAUCAAAUAAAUAAAUUAUGUUAGGUAAUAAAAUUAGGGUCAGUGAUCUUGUAAUUAAACUGAUAAAAACCCAUUGUUGAAUGCUGCACUGAAGAGAAUUCUAUCAUUUUUUGCAUCUACUUUUUUCCUUGAAAAAUUAUCAUAUGCUUCAUAGACCACUUAAGUUGUUCAUCAAGCGUUUAAGCAUGCAUUCAGCUUAUUUUGGAAAAUUGCCCAACCUGACUUCAAUUGAUUCCCCUUCUUGUUCUGGGAAAAAAUAUUCAGUCCACUCCAAAUGUCCACAAACAACAACAUUUUAAGAACAAACUUUUUUUCCGUACAAUUAGCUAUUACUUUUUAGGAAGAUGAUAAAAGAAACUUGUAUGCAUUGAAAUGGCAACUAAAAUGUUUGAUCAUAUUUUAACAUUCUGAAUCCAUAAUGCAACACCAGUUUCAGUCAAAAACAGAGUUCAGUAUAAUGCUGCUCCUGUUGCUGCCACUCUGAACUGGAAUUUUUCCCGCCAUGCCCCUCGAGGAUUCAUUGAUGGAAAAAAUGUUGUCUCGUGUGAAGCUUGAGGAGGGAUGUUGUAGUAAUGAAAUGGUGUAGAUUGGUCUUGUUGAAAUUGGUUGUGCUGUUGGGAGACGACUGCUUGAGGCAACAAGCCACCAUGAGCUGCUGCCUGCUGCCUAGCUUUAUCUGUGCCCUUUAAUUCUUGUCUAGGUGCUUGGGGCCUUGCCCAAUAUCACUUCAAUCUCAAACCCUUCAUCACUAGUUUAUUAAAGAGAUCUUCUGCAACCUUCUCUGCACCUUCUCUUGUUGUGUAGGUUACAAAAGCACAUCUUCGUUCGAGCAGCAGCAUCCGAAUGGGUUCGAUUUCACCAUGAGCAUACUUUCUUCCGUGAAAAAUUAUCAUAAGUUUUGGAUAACCAUAUGUAAGCACAAUUCUGAGAGACGAAUUCUACCAAGCAAAGCAUAUACAUAUUCGAUACUUUGUUGCAUCAUCUUGGAAGGUGAUGCCUAAUCAAUCCCUCCUGUUCAUCCAACACAAAGCCGGCUGAUGAAAAAGGGCACUUGUAAAGAAGGGUUUUAGAUCAAAGAUCUCAUGCUCCUGUGCCUGCACAAGAUAAAUCAAAUGCAAAAGGGUUUUGUUUAUGCAAGAAAAGUAAAAUUUCCAAUAUCAACCGCUCAUGUUUGCAUUACCAUCCUCUGCAAAUCUCCCACUUUGACAUCGAUAUGAGUGCUGAGCUAGAGCCAGAAACAAUUUCUGCAAACCCUGCUCUUCAUGUUUUGUUAUUAUUGAUGCUUCUUUUAUUUCCUCUCCAUUUUCUUUUGUCUUGUUCUUCCCCCACAUGAACUGUGUCAUGUCUUUCUUGUGUUCAAAU
rnacentral:lncRNA from 1 species